UACAGAGCCUGCGCGCGUUAUUCGGAUUCACUGGGCGUAAAGGGUGCGCAGGCGGCCGUGUGUGUGAGGCGUGAAAGCCCGGGGCUUAACCCCGGAAUUGCACCUCAAACUACACGGCUAGAGCAUUGGAGAGGGUAGCGGAAUUCACGGUGUAGCAGUGAAAUGCGUAGAUAUCGUGAGGAACACCAGAGGCGAAGGCGGCUACCUGGACAAUUGCUGACGCUCAGGCACGAAAGCGUGGGGAGCAAAAGGG
rnacentral:rRNA from 1 species